rnacentral:rRNA from 1 species
AACGUAGGAGACAAACGUUAUCCGGAGUUACUGGGCGUAAAGGGCGUGUAGGCGGUUCGUUAAGUCUGGCGUGAAAGCUCUCGGCUAAACCGGGAGAGGUCGUUGGAUACUGGCGGACUAGAGGACGGUAGAGGCGUGUGGAAUUCCGGGUGUAGUGGUGAAAUGCGUAGAGAUCCGGAGGAACACCAGUGGCGAAGGCGACACGCUGGGCCGUACCUGACGCUAAAGCGCGACAGCAUGGGGAGCAAACGGG